AGUGAACGCUGGCGGUAGGCCUAACACAUGCAAGUCGAACGGCAGCACAGUAAGAGCUUGCUCUUACGGGUGGCGAGUGGCGGACGGGUGAGGAAUACAUCGGAAUCUACUUUUUCGUGGGGGAUAACGUAGGGAAACUUACGCUAAUACCGCAUACGACCUACGGGUGAAAGCAUGGGAUCUUCGGACCUUGCGCGAUUGAAUGAGCCGAUGUCGGAUUAGCUAGUUGGCGGGGUAAAGGCCCACCAAGGCGACGAUCCGUAGCUGGUCUGAGAGGAUGAUCAGCCACACUGGAACUGAGACACGGUCCAGGCUCCUACGGGAGGCAGCAGUGGGGAAUAUUGGACAAUGGGCGCAAGCCUGAUCCAGCCAUACCGCGUGGGUGAAGAAGGCCUUCGGGUUGUAAAGCCCUUUUGUUGGGAAAGAAAAGCAGCAGGUUAAUACCCCGCUGUUCUGACGGUACCCAAAGAAUAAGCACCGGCUAACUUCGUG
rnacentral:rRNA from 1 species